rnacentral:misc_RNA from 1 species
GUGAACGCCCUCACGGGCUAUAUACUAUUCCAAACCUCUGUGAACCGUGCCCCUUCGGGGGCUAUUUUACAAACAUGGUGUAAUGAACGUCAUAUAUCAUAACAAAACA